AGAGUUUGAUCCUGGCUCAGAUUGAACGCUGGCGGCAGGCCUAACACAUGCAAGUCGAGCGGCAGCGACAACAUUGAACCUUCGGGGGAUUUGUUGGGCGGCGAGCGGCGGACGGGUGAGUAAUGCUUGGGAAUAUGCCUUAUGGUGGGGGACAACAGUUGGAAACGACUGCUAAUACCGCAUGAUGUCUACGGACCAAAGUGGGGGACCUUCGGGCCUCACGCCAUAAGAUUAGCCCAAGUGGGAUUAGCUAGUUGGUGAGGUAAUGGCUCACCAAGGCGACGAUCCCUAGCUGGUUUGAGAGGAUGAUCAGCCACACUGGGACUGAGACACGGCCCAGACUCCUACGGGAGGCAGCAGUGGGGAAUAUUGCACAAUGGGCGCAAGCCUGAUGCAGCCAUGCCGCGUGUGUGAAGAAGGCCUUCGGGUUGUAAAGCACUUUCAGUAAGGAGGAAAGGUUA
rnacentral:rRNA from 1 species